rnacentral:rRNA from 1 species
GACGAACGCUGGCGGCGUGCUUAACACAUGCAAGUCGAACGGAAAGGCCCUGCUUUUGUGGGGUGCUCGAGUGGCGAACGGGUGAGUAACACGUGAGUACCUGCCCUUGACUUUGGGAUAACUUCAGGAAACUGGGGCUAAUACCGGCUAGGAGCUCCUGCUGCAUGGUGGGGGUUGGAAAGUUUCGGCGGUUGGGGAUGGACUCGCGGCUUAUCAGCUUGUUGGUGGGGUAGUGGCUUACCAAGGCUUUGACGGGUAGCCGGCCUGAGCGGGGGACCGGCCACAUUGGGACUGAGAUACGGCCCAGACGCCUACGGGAGGCAGCAGUGGGGAAUAUUGCACAAUGGGCGGAAGCCUGAUGCAGCAACGCCGCGUGCGGGAUGACGGCCUUCGGGUUGUAAACCGCUUUCGCCGGUGACGAAGCGUGAGUGACGGUAAUGGGUAAAGAAGCACCGGCUAACUACGUG